rnacentral:rRNA from 1 species
GACGAACGCUGGCGGCGUGCUUAACACAUGCAAGUCGAACGGAAAGGCCCUGCUUUUGUGGGGUGCUCGAGUGGCGAACGGGUGAGUAACACUUGAGUAACCUGCCCUUGACUUUGGGAUAACUUCAGGAAACUGGGUCUAAUAUCGGAUAGGAGCUCCUGCUGCAUGGUGGGGGUUGGAAAGUUUCGGCGGUUGGGGAUGGACUCGCGGCUUAUCCGCUUGUUGGUGGGGUAGUGGCUUACCAAGGCUUUGACGGGUAGCCGGCCUGAGAGGGUGACCGGCCACAUUGGGACUGAGAUACGGCCCAGACUCCUACGGGAGGCAGCAGUGGGGAAUAUUGCACAAUGGGCGGAAGCCUGAUGCAGCAACGCCGCGUGCGGGAUGACGGCCUUCGGGUUGUAAACCGCUUUCGCCUGUGACGAAGCGUGAGUGACGGUAAUGGGUAAAGAAGCACCGGCUAACUACGUG